GGGGGUUGUUUAUUCCCAGAGAACAAACGCACUCAUGCAAACGUCUGUUACAUCAUCAGCCUCGAUCCCGAGGUCAUCACAGAUCCACCUCCACAGAGAAGCUUGUGUUAACAGCUGAUGGUUUGCAGGAUUACACAGAAGCUACUGGACGGAUCCACAUGGAACUCAGAGGAAGGAUGAAGAACUGAUCAAGGAAGAACUCGUUGAAUUUUGAGCGAUGGAGAGAGGGGAGAAGAAAGGAAAGAAAGGAAGAGGAGAAAGAGAAGUGGAGGCAGGUGGAUGUAAGGAGAGAAAGUGAAGAAACUAUUUUGGGUUGAAGAGGGUUUUGAACUCAGAGAGGUUCCAGAGACAGGACGGACUGAAGGAGGUGAAGGGAGAAAGAAAAGGUAAACAGAUAGAAACACAGUGAUGCACAGGAAGUGACACACAGGAAGUGACGCACAGGAAGUGACACACAGACGCUCGCUCACCAGGAUUGCUCUGAACACGGUGGAGCUGAUGCCGUCGGCCACCUCAAACUCUCCCUUCUCAUUGGGUCGUGUGAAGUUGUUUUCCCGCCCAGAACCGAACAUCCUGAGAAGGAACAGAAACAGGUGAUUGGUCGAGUUCUGACUGUGACGAGCAGAUCGUGGGUUUGUUCCCAGUUCCAGCUUCGAACCAUUAAAGGAACCAGACACUGAUGAAUGGGAAUAAAACCACUGAAAAGGAAUCACCCCGAGGAGCAUGGUGUUGGGCUGAGCUGUGAAAAUGGCCGGAUCCACCACGAAGCGCGUGUUGUCCACAAUGAGCGUCACUCGUUCUCCGAGCCUCAGGCCGCCGCGAGGCCCCUCCUUGCUGCUGAGGUCGUACACGUAGAUCAUGUCUCCCAGGGACUUGGAGUGGAGGUCGACUCCGGGGAGGCCCAGUGGCCGAGGUAUCGGUCCUCCGAUCAGAGCUCCUCCCAUGUGGGAAUAGGGAAGAGAGACCCUGGGGGGGCGGGGACUGGAGGAUCUGGAGGAGGAGCCUCCGUCACCGCGUUCUCGGUCUGAGGGGAGAGAGGGAGGACACGUGAAGGUCAAUACAGGAAACUUCCAUGUGUAUUAUGUA